rnacentral:rRNA from 1 species
GACGAACCGUGCGAACGUUGUUCGGAAUCACUGGGCUUAAAGGGCGCGUAGGCGGGCUGGUAAGUCAGGGGUGAAAGCCCACGGCCCAACCGUGGAAGUGCCUUUGAUACUGCCAGUCUCGAGGGAGGUAGGGGCGUGCGGAACUUCCGGUGGAGCGGUGAAAUGCGUAGAUAUCGGAAGGAACACCGGUGGCGAAAGCGGCGCGCUGGACCUCUUCUGACGCUGAGGCGCGAAAGCCAGGGGAGCAAACGGG